UACGUAGGGGGCUAGCGUUGUCCGGAAUCAUUGGGCGUAAAGCGCGUGUAGGCGGUCCGGUAAGUCCGCUGUGAAAGCCGGGGGCUCAACCCUCGGAUGCCGGUGGAUACUGGCGGGCUUGAGUACGGAAGAGGCGAGUGGAAUUCCUGGUGUAGCGGUGAAAUGCGCAGAUAUCAGGAGGAACACCAAUUGCGAAGGCAGCUCGCUGGGACGUUACUGACGCUGAGACGCGAAAGCGUGGGGAGCAAACAGG
rnacentral:rRNA from 1 species